UCUCCGUUGGUGAACCAGCGGAGGGAUCAUUACCGAGUCUACAACUCCCAAACCCCUGUGAACAUACCAUUUGUUGCCUCGGCGGUGCCUGCUUCGGCAGCCCGCCAGAGGACCCAAACCCUUGAUUUUAUACAGUAUCUUCUGAGUAAAUGAUUAAAUAAAUCAAAACUUUCAACAACGGAUCUCUUGGUUCUG
rnacentral:misc_RNA from 1 species